UACGUAGGGUGGGAGCGUUGUCCGGAAUUACUGGGCGUAAAGAGCUCGUAGGUGGUUUGUCGCGUUGUCCGUGAAAACUCACAACUCAAUUGUGGGCGUGCGGGCGAUACGGGCAGACUGGAGUACUGCAGGGGAGACUGGAAUUCCUGGUGUAGCGGUGGAAUGCGCAGAUAUCAGGAGGAACACCGGUGGCGAAGGCGGGUCUCUGGGCAGUAACUGACGCUGAGGAGCGAAAGCGUGGGGAGCGAACAGG
rnacentral:rRNA from 1 species